rnacentral:rRNA from 1 species
AUUGAACGCUGGCGGCAUGCUUUACACAUGCAAGUCGAACGGCAGCGCGGGCUUCGGCCUGGCGGCGAGUGGCGAACGGGUGAGUAAUACAUCGGAACGUGCCCAGUAGUGGGGGAUAGCUCGGCGAAAGCCGGAUUAAUACCGCAUACGACCUGAGGGUGAAAGCGGGGGAUCUUCGGACCUCGCGCUAUUGGAGCGGCCGAUGGCAGAUUAGCUAGUUGGUGGGGUAAAGGCCUACCAAGGCGACGAUCUGUAGCUGGUCUGAGAGGACGACCAGCCAGAUUGGGACUGAGAGACGGCCCAGACGCAUACGGGAGGCAGAAGGGGGGGAUAUUGCAAAAUGGGCGGAAGCCGGAUGCAGAAAGGCCGCGGGCGGAAUGACGGCCUGCGGGUUGUAAACCGCUUUCGCCUGUGACGAAGCGUGAGUGACGGUAAUGGGUAAAGAAGCACCGGCUAACUACGUG